rnacentral:rRNA from 1 species
AGUACCGUGAGGGAAAGGUGAAAAGAACCCCGGGAGGGGAGUGAAAGAGAACCUGAAACCAUAUGCCUACAAGAAGUCAGAGCCCGUUAAAGGGUGAUGGCGUGCCUUUUGUAGAAUGAACCGGCGAGUUACUGUAUGGAGCGAGGUUAAGCAGGAUAUGCGGAGCCGAAGCGAAAGCGAGUCUUAAGAGGGCGAGAGUUGCAUGCAGUAGACCCGAAACCGGGUGAUCUAGCCAUGACCAGGUUGAAGUUGGGGUAAAACCCGAUGGAGGACCGAACCGACCCCCGUUGAAACGUUGGCGGAUGAGUUGUGGCUAGGGGUGAAAUUCCAAUCGAACCCGGAGAUAGCUGGUUCUCCCCGAAAUAGCUUUAGGGCUAGCGUCGAGGUAAGUUGCGUGAAGGUAGAGCACUGAAUAUGUGAUGGCCCCAUCUCGGGGUACUGAGCAUAAUCAAACUGCGAAUGUCACGCCAACAUGCUCGGCAGUCAGACAGCGGGUGAUAAGGUCCGUUGUCAAGAGGGAAACAGCCCAGACCAUCAGCUAAGGUCCCAAAAUGUAUGCUAAGUGGAAAAGGAUGUGGAGAUGUACAGACAACUAGGAGGUUGGCUCAGAAGCAGCCAUCCUUUAAAGAGUGCGUAACAGCUCACUAGUCGAAUGACUCUGCGCCGAUAAUUUACCGGGGCUAAGCAUACUACCGAAGCUAUGGAUCCCAAGGGAUGGUAGGGGAGCGUUCCAUGAACGGAGAAGUACGACCGAAAGGACGUGUGGAGAUCAUGGAAGAGAGAAUGCCGGUGUGAGUAGCGGAACGUGGGUGAGAAUCCCACGCACCGAAAACCCAAGGUUUCCAGAGGAAGGUUCGUCCGCUCUGGGUAAGUCGGGACCUAAGGCGAGGCCGAAAGGCGUAGUCGAUGGACAACAGGUAGAGAUUCCUGUACCCGUAUAUAUGUGAAGGAAUGACGGAGAGAGGAAGCUGCAGCCAGCGGCUGGAAGAGCUGGUGCAAGCGAGAUAUCGGGAUGGCAGGCAAAUCCACCAUCCGAAACGAGAAGGCGUGAAGCGUACGGAAAGCUACGGCGAGUACGGAAGGCAGUGGAGGAACUUCCAAGAAAAGUUUCUAACGUUAAGUAUAUAUGGCCCGUACCGAAAAUGGACACACAUGGGUGAGGAGAGAAUCCUAAGGUGAGCGAGAGAACUAUAGCUAAGGAACUCUGCAAAAUGACUCCGUAACUUAGGGAGAAGGAGUGCUCAUAGAGAUAUGAGCCGCAGUGAAACGGCCCAAGCGACUGUUUACCAAAAACACAGCUCUCUGCUAAGCCGCAAGGCGAAGUAUAGGGGGUGACGCCUGCCCGGUGCUGGAAGGUUAAGGGGAGGGGUUAACGCAAGUGAAGCCCUGAACUGAAGCCCCAGUAAACGGCGGCCGUAACUAUAACGGUCCUAAGGUAGCGAAAUUCCUUGUCAGGUAAGUUCUGACCCGCACGAAAGGCGUAACGAUUUGGGCGCUGUCUCAGCUGUAGACUCGGUGAAGUCUUAGUACCUGUGAAGAUGCAGGUUACCCGCGACUAGACGGAAAGACCCCAUGGAGCUUCACUGCAGGUUGAUAUUGGGAUUUGAUGCAGCAUGUACAGGAUAGGUAGGAGGCAAAGAGAUGGAUACGCCAGUAUUCAAGGAGCCGCUGUUGGGAUACUACCCCUGUUGUAUUGGAUUUCUAACCGGACGACGUAGAACCGUUGACGGGACAGUGUCAGUCGGGCAGUUUGACUGGGGCGGUCGCCUCCCAAAGAGUAACGGAGGCGCCCAAAGAUACCCUCAGCUUGGAUGGAAACCAAGCGCAGAGUGCAAAGGCAAAAGGGUGUUUGACUGCGAGACCCACAAGUCGAGCAGGGACGAAAGUCGGGCUUAGUGAUCCGGCGGUGCUGAAUGGAAAGGCCGUCGCUCAACGGAUAAAAGCUACCCUGGGGAUAACAGGCUGAUCUCCCCCAAGAGUUCACAUCGACGGGGAGGUUUGGCACCUCGAUGUCGGCUCAUCGCAUCCUGGAGCUGAAGUCGGUUCCAAGGGUUGGGCUGUUCGCCCAUUAAAGCGGUACGCGAGCUGGGUUCAGAACGUCGUGAGACAGUUCGGUCCCUAUCUGUCGUGGGCGCAGGAAAUUUGAGAAGAGCUGUCCUCAGUACGAGAGGACCGGGAUGGACGCAUCAAUGGUGGACCAGUUGUCACGCCAGUGGCAUAGCUGGGUAGCUAAAUGCGGAAGGGAUAAACGCUGAAGGCAUCUAAGUGUGAAACCCACUUCAAGAUGAGAUUUCCCAUUGC